rnacentral:rRNA from 1 species
ACGGGAGGCAGCAGUGGGGAAUAUUGGACAAUGGGCGCAAGCCUGAUCCAGCCAUGCCGCGUGAGUGAAGAAGGCCUUCGGGUUGUAAAGCUCUUUUGUCCGGAAAGAAAAGCCUUCGGUUAAUACCCGGGGGUGAUGACGGUACCGGAAGAAUAAGCACCGGCUAACUUCGUGCCAGCAGCCGCGGUAAUACGAAGGGUGCAAGCGUUACUCGGAAUUACUGGGCGUAAAGCGUGCGUAGGUGGUUCGUUAAGUCUGAUGUGAAAGCCCUGGGCUCAACCUGGGAAUGGCAUUGGAAACUGGCGACCUAGAGUGCGGUAGAGGGUAGUGGAAUUCCCGGUGUAGCAGUGAAAUGCGUAGAGAUCGGGAGGAACAUCUGUGGCGAAGGCGACUGCCUGGACCAGCACUGACACUGAGGCACGAAAGCGUGGGGAGCAAACAGGAUUAGAUACCCUGGUA